UGCUAUCCAUGUUACGAGCAGGGCUUGGCAGGUCAACAUUUGGAACUGGGUCAUUUACCAUAGUUUGUUCUUGCACGGGCCUUUCCAUGAUGACCGGCUCUUUAAUAUUAAAUGGCUCAUUUUCACAAGUCGCCUCAACCUCUACAUCUGGGCUCAGUUUGGAUUUGUGGAUCAACUCUUGGCGGGUAUUGAAUCUCAAGACCAGCAGCACCACAUGACCCGCCAGUUUGCAUCCUCGCUUAAUCUUUGGCUCUGCAAUCAUGAAGGUAAUAUUGGGUCAAAGAAAUCAU
rnacentral:lncRNA from 1 species